GUUUUGCUUUUUCUUUUUCCCCCCUUUCUUUUUGUGUCAACAACCCCUGCAACAAUCCAGGCCUUUCACUCGGUUUAAAUUGGGUUAUUCAGCACUAAUGUUAUGCAAGGCUCCUGAUUAGUGGUGUGGAGUUCGAGUUGGGAGACUGUUGGAGCUGCGAUGGAAUUAAGGUAACCCUGGCAACCAUUGUCAUUAAAAUCAGGUUCCUCUUGUUGCAUUCCUUGCAGCCCUCGCGUGCUGGAGCAGCACAAGGGUUCUUCCCAGAAUAUUCCAGUCUGGAGCGUGGAGGCAGAGGGUUUGAGAUCUGAGGCUGGUGGAUGUUUCAUCUGCACUGUUUGAAGACUUCUUGCAACCACGAGAUAGAGAUGGACCUGUAAUCCACUGGAUAAUCCUCCCAGUGCUUUAUUUCAACCCAGCUCAUGAGGGUCCUGGUAGCCAACAGGUUGACCCAAGGUUGACCGUGGGCCAGCAGUGUGCCCUGGUGGCCAGGAAGGCCAAUGGGACCCUGGGGUUCACUGUGCAGAGCAUGGCCAGCAGGGCCCAGUGCUGGGCUCCCCAGUUCCAGGCAGAUUGGGAACUGCUGGGAGAGCCCAGUGGAGAGUGCAGAGAUGGUAGGGGCCUGGAGCACCUCCUGAUGGGGACAGGCUGAGAGCCCCAGGGCUGUGCAUGUGGAGGAGAGAAGGCUGGGAUAGGGGAUUGGAGCAACAGAAACCACUAUCAGUGCUUGGCAUCUCAUUUUUCCUUGACUUCUUAUUCUUAAUAUAAAUCAACUGAAACAUUUUCUGGUUUCUCCGCAGCAGAUGCAGCACAAAAUGACCACAAAUGAGUCACUGGGCUGUCUGAACAUGCAAAGCAUUUUGAGCCGACGUUCCUCGUGAUGUGGCUUCCCCGUCACAUUCUUGUUGCCUCACGUUUCUAUGGGGAGAUGGUAGCUGCUGGCACGGGGAUCGCAAAGUGCCAGGAGCAGCUGCUCCCAUGGGAGGUGACAAGCUGUAUUUGGGACCUCAAAUUCAUAGGAUCAUAAAGGUUGGAACAGACCUCUAGGGUCAUCGGGACUGACCACCAACCCGUCCCCACCAUGCCUUGCAUGGGGAAGGACUGGAGCUGUGGCAGCAGCACUCAGGCUGAUUCAUCACGUGGUUUAGGGGUGGGAUUUGGGGUUAUUCUACCUCAAAUCACCCAAUGGCAAUGCUGAGUGGUUGCAGACAGCUUCCAAGCCUGGGCAGAACUGAGGCAGAACAUUGAGCUUCUCAUCCCAUGGGGAUUUUGAACUGCUCUUUCUCCUCAGGAUUUGUUUGUUCCAUGCUUCCUGCACUUUGUCAUUAGUUUGAAGGAAUAGCAAGUCAGUAAUUGUGGUGCUGGUAAAAGAGAACUUCCCAGAGUAGUGUGGGUGCUCCAUCCAUGGAGCUGCCCGUGGCUAUGGAUGGGGCCUGGGUGGCCUUAGCUGGUGGGGUUGACCCAGGGGUCCCAUUCCACUCAACUGCGCUGGGAUUCUGUGAUCUUGAAGGAACCUUCCAACCCAACCAUACUGGGAUUCUGUGAUCUUGAAGGACCCAUCCAACCCAACCAUUCCAGGAUUCUGUGAUCUUUAAGUGCACUUCCAACUUAGCCAUUCUAUGCUUCUGAAGGGAUGCCUGUUCAGUCUUGUAACUGAAAUAUUGUAUGGUUGGGAGACAGCCUUCCCCCAGACAUACAUGCAUAACCACAGAGCUGUGCCAAGCAGAAUUUAGUAUCCCCCAAACAAGUUCAAGUGCUCUUCAAAGCAUCUUUGAGUAAUUUGCCCUCCGUCUUCAUCCAGGACAUGAAACAUGUCAUGGCACCAGCAUUAGGAUCAGACAAACUGCUCUUUUGGUGACUUCUCUGUUAUUAUUUAUUUAUUUAUUUAUUCAUUUAUUUAUUAUGGCAGUCUGGGAGUAGAAAUCACUUUUUUUCUUCUUGCAGGUAUAGGGGGAGAGUGGCAUGUUGGUCUUAGUAUUGGGUUGAGAUGGAUGCUGCCACGUCCUCACUUCUUCCUUGGAGCUUAGUGCCAUUCCUGAUGCAGAUCCUUGGCACUUCCCCACGUUGUCAUGGAUAACAAAUUAAAGCCCAUUCCCUUCCAUGAGGAUGGCGCUGCCUCUUGGGCAAGUCCAUUUCUGAAUUGUCAGAAAGAAUCAGGAAAGAGUUCUGGGUGAAAAUCAGCUUUAAACACUGUUCCUUUUCACAUCGCUUUUGCCGCUCUCUUUUCCCAUAGGCACAGCCGUCCUUGGCUGAUCUCUCAGCAUCUUAACGUACGUGCAGACCCCGAGCCCUCACGUUUCCUUCUCUUUAUUCAGCUUUUGAGAAACCCUGAACAGAGGGAAAGCACAGAACGUGCUUCAGAGACAAACAGAAGGAGAGGACGCGUGCCGAGAGCCAAGCCGCCUACCAGGCACCUCCCAGCACAUCACAAUGCAUCGGGGCAGAACCUCAAUUACCACUGCGAGGAUUUUGCUCCCUCAUCCAUCUCACCAACCAGCUCCUUUUGUUUUUUACCCCCAUGUAAAAUGCAUUCAGGUCGUCAUCCACCUCCGUCUGCAGAGCGGAUCAUGGAGGUACACAAUUGAGAAGAACAAACAUCCAUUUCUCUUUUCUCUCCUUCCUGGAACUCCUUUGCUUCAGCAUAAGGGCUGUGUGCUGUGAUAAUGCAGAAGUGGACAGUGUUGGCUUUUAGCUACUUCAGUUAUUUAACUGCAGAGUUACUCUUCACAUGGACUGCUUUGGGAAACCGCAGCUGUGUAAUUCAGGGAAUGGUUCAUGAGCCUUAAGGGGUUGGUGCUGGAAGGCUUCAAGCAUUGGAUUUUUCUCAUCAGUGUCAAAGAACUGCUGAAACCCAAACUCAAGCCAUUCUGUGGUUCUUUAAAAUCCCUUCCAACCCAACUCUUCUAAUGGCACUGUAAUCCUACAGACCCCAUUCUGUGCAACCCCGUGGUGCAAAAGGCAGGAUGUGUUUCCUUGGCAAGGAACUGCAAACAAACCUGACAGACGUUUAAAGAAAUCCAGCCCCCGUUAUUGGCAGGCAUGCUGCCACUGUGAUAAAUGCUGUGAGAUUUGUGCCCAGGGUGUGAAUGACUCACUUACACUUGAUGUGUUGCUGCUCACAGUCUGUGCUUUGUGGGAUUUCCAGGUUUCUGGAGGUGUGAGGUGUGCGCUCGUCGUGGUGUAUCACAAGAGCCGCCUCUUGGGGCUCUCCUUUGCCUGAGACAGUAACGCUGGGAGUGAUGGAGCUCAGAUCUUAAGUUCUGCUGAGCUGCGGGGAUGGAGUUGGAAGUCCGUGGGGCUAUGGAUGCUGCUUGCUGCAGUGUUUGGAUUGUGUAAGGGAGCGUGUCCAAGCCUGCAGAUGCAUAGGGCCUUCCCACGCAGCUGUGCUGUAUUUUCACUUCAGCCAUCCGCUGGUUUUGUCAAUGAAUGAGAGAAUCAUGGAAUGGUUGGGUUGGAAGGGUCCUUCAAGAUCACAGAACCACAGAAUGGUUGGGUUGGAAGGGUCCUUCAAGGUCAUGAAAUGAUUGGGUUGGAAGGGUCUUUCAAGAUCACAGAGAUACUGAAUGUUGCAUUGGGUGGGUCCUUCAAGGUCAUGGCAUGGUUGGGUUGGAAGGGUCCUUCAAGAUCACAGAGCCAUAGGCUGGUUAGGUUGGAAGGGUCCUUCAAGGUCAUUAAAUGAUUGGGUUGGAAGGGUCUUUCAAGAUCACAGAGCUACUGAAUGUUGCAUUGGAUGGGUCCUUCAAGGUCAUGGCAUGGUUGGGUUGGAAGGGUCCUUCAAGGUCAGGGAACAUGUUGUGUCUUGCCGUAAAUGGGACACGCUUCCUCUGCAUGCAGACCAGAAAGCUGCAGUUGCUGCUUUGUGUAUUCCCAUGCCCUGGCCAUGAAGCUUGCCCUUCGCUAUCAAGCAGUUUAAUAUUUUUAAUAAUUUUUUUACUAACUUUUUUUUAAAUGUGACAACAAAGAGAAUCUGCAAGAGGAUAAUUGAGCUGAAAGCACAGCACAGUGAGAUCGUCACUGGCAAGCAUGGCUGAAUGGCUUCAGGAAGUAUGUGCUUAUUCAUUAACUUUGAAAUCUGCUCACGAUACUUCAGAGUUCUCUUGGUGGUGUUGGACAGAAAAGUAUUUUGGAGGCUGAGCUCAGGACGAAAAGCUCUUGGUGCAGUAGGUCACUGUGAGGUGACUGUAAGCUGAUGUGAAGGGAUUGUAGGUCACUGUGAGGUGGUUGUAGGCUGAUGUGAAGGGAUUGUAGGUCACUGUGAGGUGGUUGUAGGCUGAUGUGAGGGGAUUGUAGGUCACUGUGAGGUGGUUGUAGGUCACCAUGGGAUUGUUGUAGGCUGCUGCGAAGAGGUUCUAGGUCAUCAUGAGGUGGCUGUAGGCUGCUAUGAAGAGGUUGUAGGUCGCUGUGAGAUGGUUGUAGGCUGUUAUGAAUACACUGUAGACCACCAUGAGGUGGCUGUAGGUCACAAUGAAGUAACUGUAGGCUGCCAUGAGGUGACUGUAGGUAAAUGGUGUACUUCUCCAUGUGGCCUAUAUCCAGUUCUUCCAAGAGACUCAAACGUAGGAUUUAUUUUUCACUCUUGUUCAAUUCUGCAAGGGGAAGCCCCAUUGCCUGCCGCAGAUUUCAGCACUGCCCUCUGCCACCGAAAUCUGUUGGUUUGGGAUUUCUGAUGCUUGGAAAGAAAAAAAGACAUUUUAAUCUUCGGUUCACGGAGCGAGUGAAAUGUGCUGGUUGUCAUUAGCCUGUUCCAAGCACAGUCUGGAUUUGAUGCUUGGUCUGAAUUGAAAGUGACAGUGUAUAUUUCUGAAAUCCAUUUUAGUGUUUAAAUGCUGUGUUGCAAAAAAAAAAAACAAAAA